GCGGCGGACGGGUGAGUAACACGUGGGCAACCUGCCCUGCAGACUGGGAUAACUUCGGGAAACCGGAGCUAAUACCGGAUAACACCGAAAACCGCAUGGUUUUCGGUUGAAAGGCGGUUUUUACCUGUCACUGCAGGAGGGGCCCGCGGCGCAUUAGCUAGUUGGUGAGGUAACGGCUCACCAAGGCGACGAUGCGUACCCGACCUGAGAGGGUGACCGGCCACACUGGGACUGACACACGGCCCACACUCCUACGGGAGGCAGCAGUAGGGAAUCUUCCGCAAUGGACGAAAGUCUGACGGAGCAACGCCGCGUGAGCGAAGAAGGUCUUCGGAUCGUAAAGCUCUGUUGUCAGGGAAGAACAAGUGCCGUUCGAACAGGGCGGUACCUUGACGGUACCUGACGAGGAAGCCACGGCUAACUACCUGCCAGCAGCCGCGGUAAUAC
rnacentral:rRNA from 1 species